AGUGAACGCUGGCGGCGUGCCUAAUACAUGCAAGUCGAACGAUGAAGUCCUAGCUUGCUAGGCUGGAUUAGUGGCGCACGGGUGAGUAAUAUAUAGUUAAUCUGCCCUACACAGAGGAACAACAUUUGGAAACGGCUGCUAAUACCUCAUACUCCUAUUUGACAUAGGUUAAAUAGGGAAAGUCUUUUCGGUGUAGGAUGAGACUAUAUCGUAUCAGCUAGUUGGUAAGGUAAUGGCUUACCAAUGCUAUGACGCGUAACUGGUCUGAGACGAUGAUCAGUCACAUUGGAAAUGAGACACGGUCCAAACUCCUACGGGAGGCAGCAGUAAGGAAUAUUGCGAAAUGGGGGAAACCCUGACGCAGCAACGCCGCGUGGAGGAUGACACUUUUCGGAGCGUAAAAUCCUUUUAUCAGGAAAGAAUAAUGACGGUACCUGAUGAAUAAGCACCGGCUAACUCCGUG
rnacentral:rRNA from 1 species